UUGAACGCUGGCGGCAGGCCUAACACAUGCAAGUCGAACGGUAACAGGAAGAAGCUUGCUUCUUUGCUGACGAGUGGCGGACGGGUGAGUAAUGUCUGGGAAACUGCCUGAUGGAGGGGGAUAACUACUGGAAACGGUAGCUAAUACCGCAUAACGUCGCAAGACCAAAGAGGGGGACCUUCGGGCCUCUUGCCAUCGGAUGUGCCCAGAUGGGAUUAGCUAGUAGGUGGGGUAACGGCUCACCUAGGCGACGAUCCCUAGCUGGUCUGAGAGGAUGACCAGCCACACUGGAACUGAGACACGGUCCAGACUCCUACGGGAGGCAGCAGUGGGGAAUAUUGCACAAUGGGCGCAAGCCUGAUGCAGCCAUGCCGCGUGUAUGAAGAAGGCCUUCGGGUUGUAAAGUACUUUCAGCGGGGAGGAAGGGAGUAAAGUUAAUACCUUUGCUCAUUGACGUUACCCGCAGAAGAAGCACCGGCUAACUCCGUGCCAGCAGCCGCGGUAAUACGGAGGGUGCAAGCGUUAAUCGGAAUUACUGGGCGUAAAGCGCACGCAGGCGGUUUGUUAAGUCAGAUGUGAAAUCCCCGGGCUCAACCUGGGAACUGCAUCUGAUACUGGCAAGCUUGAGUCUCGUAGAGGGGGGUAGAAUUCCAGGUGUAGCGGUGAAAUGCGUAGAGAUCUGGAGGAAUACCGGUGGCGAAGGCGGCCCCCUGGACGAAGACUGACGCUCAGGUGCGAAAGCGUGGGGAGCAAACAGGAUUAGAUACCCUGGUAGUCCACGCCGUAAACGAUGAGUACUAAGUGUUGGGAGUCAAAUCUCAGUGCUGCAGUUAACGCAAUAAGUACUCCGCCUGAGUAGUACGUUCGCAAGAAUGAAACUCAAAGGAAUUGACGGGGGCCCGCACAAGCGGUGGAGCAUGUGGUUUAAUUCGAUGCAACGCGAAGAACCUUACCUGGUCUUGACAUCCACGGAAGUUUUCAGAGAUGAGAAUGUGCCUUCGGGAACCGUGAGACAGGUGCUGCAUGGCUGUCGUCAGCUCGUGUUGUGAAAUGUUGGGUUAAGUCCCGCAACGAGCGCAACCCUUAUGGUCAGUUACUACGCAAGAGGACUCUGGCCAGACUGCCGUUGACAAAACGGAGGAAGGUGGGGACGACGUCAAAUCAUCAUGCCCUUUAUGACUUGGGCUACACACGUACUACAAUGGCUAUAACAAAGAGAAGCGAGACAGUGAUGUGGAGCAAAACUCAAAAAAAUAGUCUCAGUUCGGAUUGAAGGCUGAAAUUCGCCUUCAUGAAGCUGGAAUUGCUAGUAAUGGCAGGUCAGCAUACUGCCGUGAAUACGUUCCCGGGCCUUGUACACACCGCCCGUCACACCAUGGGAGCCGGUAACACCCGAAGUCAGUAGUCUAACCGCAAGGAGGACGCUGCCGAAGGUAGGAUUGGCGACUGGGGUG
rnacentral:rRNA from 1 species